AUUGAACGCUGGCGGCAGGCCUAACACAUGCAAGUCGAGCGAGCGGCGGACGGGUGAGUAAUGUAUUGGGAUCUGCCCGAUAGAGGGGGAUAACUCCUGGAAACGGUGGCUAAUACCGCUUCCUAUCGGUUGCGCCCAUAUGGGAUUAACUAGUAGGUGGGGUAAAGGCACACCAAGGCGACGAUCUCUAGCUGGUCUGAGAGGAUGAUCAGCCACACUGGGACUGAGACACGGCCCAGACUCCUACGGGAGGCAGCAGUGGGGAAUAGUGCACAAUGGGCGAAAGCCUGAUGCAGCAAUGCCGCGUGUAUGAAGAAGGCCUUAGGGUUGUAAAGUACUUUCAGCGGGGAGGCGUUACCCGCAGAAGAAGCACCGGCUAACUACGUGCAAGCAGCCGCGGUAAUUC
rnacentral:rRNA from 1 species